CCUACGGGUGGCAGCAGUGGGGAAUAUUGCACAAUGGGGGAAACCCUGAUGCAGCGACGCCGCGUGAGUGAAGAAGUAUUUCGGUAUGUAAAGCUCUAUCAGCAGGGAAGAAAAUGACGGUACCUGAUUAAGAAGCCCCGGCUAACUACGUGCCAGCAGCCGCGGUAAUACGGAGGAUGCGAGCUUUAUCCGGAUUUAUUGGGUUUAACGGGUGCGUAGGCGGAAUGCCAGGGCAGCGGUAAAAUCGCGGGGCUCAACCUCGCUCCGCCGUUGAAACUGGCGUUCUUGAGUGGGCGAGAGGUAUGCGGAAUGCGUGGUGUAGCGGUGAAAUGCAUAGAUAUCGAGAGGAACACUCGUGGCGAAGGCGGGUUCCUGGACAUUAACUGACGCUGAGGCACGAAGGCCAGGGGAGCGAAAGGGAUUAGAUACCCUAGUAGUC
rnacentral:rRNA from 1 species